rnacentral:rRNA from 1 species
CUGCCAGACAGGGAAACUGCGUACGGCUCAUUACACCAGCCUUAAUUUACUUGACCUUGACAACCUACUUGGAUAACUGUGGUAAUUCUAGAGCUAAUACAUGCACCAAAGCUCCGAUCCUCGCGGAGAGGAGCGCAUUUGUUCGCCACAAAACCAAGCGCCCAUCUGGGCGUCCAGUGCUGAACCAGAACAACUCAGCUGAUCGCACGGUCUUGUACCGGCGACGUGUCUUUCAAGUGUCUGCCUUAUCAACUUUCGAUGGUAGUGUACCUGACUACCAUGGUUGUGACGGGUAACGGAGGAUAAGGGUUCGACUCCGGAGAAGGGGCCUGAGAAAUGGCCACUACGUCUAAGGAUGGCAGCAGGCGCGCAAAUUACCCACUCUCAACGCGAGGAGGUAGUGACGAGAAAUAACGAGACCGUUCUCAUACGAGGCCGGUUAUUGGAAUGGGUACAAUUUAAA